rnacentral:lncRNA from 1 species
UGCAAUUUCUUCCCAACCCUGAUCUUGCUGAAGUAGGGCUUCUGCUCUGCCGUGUCUUACGUUGCCCUAGAGGUACAAAGCGUAAAGUCCUGCUUUGUUUCCUCAAGGGGAGACAGGCCACAAAGUGCCAUCUUUUCAGCUCUUUGGGAAGCUAAGAAACAACUCAUUCUCCACAGUGCUUUUAUAGCCUACUGGGAACAUUUCUUGCAAAGGCCUGUGAAACACAGUUUCUUCCCAGCCUUGAUCUCGCUGAAGUAGUACUUCUGCUCUGCCGUGUAAUACAUUUCCCUAGAGGUGGAAGUCAAAAUGGACUGCCUUGCUUCCUUUAGAGGAGACAGACCACAGACCGUCUUGCUUCCAGCUCUUUGGCAAGCUAAGAAACAACUCGCUCUGCACAGUGCUCUUACAGCCUACCGGGAACAACUCUUCCAAAGGCCUGUGAAACGCAGUUUCUUUGCAGGCCUGAUCUGGCUGAAGUAGGACUUCUGCUCUGGGUGUGCCACAUUGCCCUAGAGCUUAAAGGCACAACGUGCAGUCUUCUUUCCAAAGGGCGAGUUGGGCCCCACAGCAUCUUGCUUCCAGCUCUUUGGGAAGCUAAGAAACAACUCGCUCUGCACAGUGCUCUUACAGCCUACCGGGAACAUCUCUUCCAAAGGCCUGUGAAACGCAGUUUCUUUGCAGGCCUGAUCUGUCUGAAGUAGGACUUCUGCUCUGGGUGUGCUACAUUGCCCUAGAGCUGAAAGGCACAACGUGCAGGCUUCUUUCCAAAGGGCGAGUUGGGACCCACAGCAUCUUGCUUCCAGCUCUUUGGGAAGCUAAGAAACAACUCGCUCUGCACAGUGCUCUUACAGCCUACCGGGAACAUCUCUUCCAAAGGCCUGUGAAACGCAGUCUCUUUGCAGGCCUGAUCUGGCUGAAGUAGGACUUCUGCUCUGGGUGUGCUACAUUGCCCUAGAGCUGAAACGCACAACGUGCAGGCAUCUUUCCAAAGGGCGAGUUGGGCCCCACAGCAUCUUGCUUCCAUCUCUUUGGGAAGCUAGAAACAACUCGCUCUGCACGUGCUUCUUACAGACUACAGGGAACAUCUCUUCCAAAGGCCUGUGAAACGCAGUUUCUUUGCAGGCCUGAUCUGGCUGAAGUAGGACUUCUGCUCUGGGUGUGCUACUUUGCCCUAGAGCUGAAAGGCACAACGUGCAGGCUUCUUUCCAAAGGGCGAGUUGGGCCCCACAGCAUCUUGCUUCCAGCUCUUUGGGAAGCUAAGAAACAACUCGCUCUGCACAGUGCUCUUACAGCCUACCGGGAACAUCUCUUCCAAAGGCCUGUGAAACGCAGUUUCUUUGCAGGCCUGAUCUGGCUGAAGUAGGACUUCUGCUCUGGGUGUGCUACAUUGCCCUAGAGCUGAAAGGCACAACGUGCAGGCUUUCUUUUUCAAAGGGCGAGUUGGGCGCCACAGCAUCUUGCUUCCAGCUCUUUGGGAAGCUAAGAGACAACUCGCUCUGCACAGUGCUCUUACA